CCAAUGUCGAAUAGAGGGGAAAUGAUCACGUCCCUCAAUCUGCUGGCAGUGCCCCUACUUAUACAGCUCAAAAUGUGGUUAGUCUUCUUGGGAACAAGGGCACACUCUUCACUCAUAUCCAGCUUCUUGUCCGCUGUAACCCC